rnacentral:rRNA from 1 species
UACAGAGGGGGCAAGCGUUGUUCGGAAUUACUGGGCGUAAAGGGCGCGUAGGCGGCCUGCUAAGUCGAACGUGAAAUCCCCGAGCUCAACUCGGGAACUGCGUCCGAUACUGGCAGGCUUGAAUCCGGGAGAGGGAUGCGGAAUUCCAGGUGUAGCGGUGAAAUGCGUAGAUAUCAGGAGGAACACCAGCGGCGAAGGCGGCGCUCUGGGCCGGUACUGACGCUGAGGAGCGAAAGCGUGGGGAGCAAACAGG